AAAACAUUCUUCCCCCUUAGUAUGGGAGACAGAAAAGGAACAAGGAGCCAUAGAAUCAGUACCGCAAGGGAACGCUGAAAGAGAAGUGAAAUAAAUCAGUAAAGCAUAGACAAGCAGGGCUUAAACCCCGUACCUUUUGCAUCAUUGAUUAGCUAGUAACAGCAGGCAAGGAGAACCAUAGCCUGCAACCCCGAAACUGGGUGAGCUACUCCGAGACAGCCUAUACUAGGGCAAACCCGUCUCUGUGGCAAAAGAGUGGGAAGAUCUCCGAGUAGAAGUGAUAAACUUACCGAACCCUGUUAUAGCUGGUUGCCUGGGAAGUGGAUAUAAGUUCAGCCCCACCUCUUCUUUUCCCAUAAACAACGUAUAACUUGUGGCAAUAAGAAGGGAGGGGAGUUAGUCAAAGGGGGUACAGCCCCUUUGAAUAAGGAAACAACUUUUUAAGGAGGAUAAGGAUUAUAGCCUUCAAGGGAUGGUAGCUCAGUGGGCCUAAAAGCAGCCACCUGAAUCGAGGGCGUCAAAGCUUAAGCACAACACCACCCGCUUAUCCCAAUAAACCCAUCCAAAGCCCCGCCCAUUACCAGGCCUUUCUAUACCCCAUAGAAGAGAACAUGCUAGUAUGAGUAAUAAGAAAACCUUGAGACUUUCUCCUCGCACACGUGUAACCCAGCACGGACAACCCACCGAAAAUUAACGGACCCAAUGCAAGAGGGCAGUGACAAGCAACGCAGUGACCGGAAAAACAUUCAACCCCAACCGUUAACCCCACACAGGUGUGCUUAAAGGAAAGACUAAAAGAGGGAGAAGGAACUCGGCAAACAAUCCUACAAAGCCUCGCCUGUUUACCAAAAACAUCGCCUCUUGCGAACACAUUUAGAAUAAGAGGUCCAACCUGCCCAGUGACACCCUGUUCAACGGCCGCGGUAUUUUGACCGUGCUAAGGUAGCGCAAUCACUUGUCUCUUAAAUGGGGACCUGUAUGAAAGGUAUAACGAGGGCUUAACUGUCUCCUCCCUCCAGUCAAUGAAAUUGAUCUCCCCGUGCAGAAGCGGGGAUUCUAACAUAAGACGAGAAGACCCUGUGGAGCUUAAGACCCAGAGCAGCUCACGUCAAUCAACCGCACUCAAGGAUUAAACCAGGUGAGAGCUCCUCCUCUGUCUUCGGUUGGGGUGACCAUGGGGCAAACCCAACCCCCAUGUAGACAGGGAGCACUAGAGGACACCUUACCACAAAUCCCACAAUUUCACUCCCACAAACCAGAGCUCCGGCUCUAGUUAACGAAACUCUUCGACUUAGAUUGAUCCGGGCUAACCGAUCAACGAACCAAGUUACCCCAGGGAUAACAGCGCUAU
rnacentral:rRNA from 1 species